rnacentral:rRNA from 1 species
UACGAAGGGGGCUAGCGUUGCUCGGAAUUACUGGGCGUAAAGCGCACGUAGGCGGAUUGUUAAGUCGGGGGUGAAAUCCCGGAGCUCAACUUCGGAACUGCCUUUGAUACUGGCAAUCUAGAGUCCGGAAGAGGUUAGUGGAAUUCCCAGUGUAGAGGUGAAAUUCGUAGAUAUUGGGAAGAACACCAGUGGCGAAGGCGGCUAACUGGUCCGGUACUGACGCUGAGGUGCGAAAGCGUGGGGAGCAAACAGG